CCUACGGGGGGCUGCAGUGGGGAAUAUUGGACAAUGGGGGGAACCCUGAUCCAGCCAUGCCGCGUGUGUGAAGAAGGCCCUCGGGUUGUAAAGCACUUUCAGUGAGGAAGAACGCCUGGUGGUUAAUACCCAUCAGGAAAGACAUCACUCACAGAAGAAGCACCGGCUAACUCCGUGCCAGCAGCCGCGGUAAUACGGAGGGUGCGAGCGUUAAUCGGAAUUACUGGGCGUAAAGCGCGCGUAGGUGGCUUGAUAAGCCGGUUGUGAAAGCCCCGGGCUCAACCUGGGAACGGCAUCCGGAACUGUCAAGCUAGAGUGCAGGAGAGGAAGGUAGAAUUCCCGGUGUAGCGGUGAAAUGCGUAGAGAUCGGGAGGAAUACCAGUGGCGAAGGCGGCCUUCUGGACUGACACUGACACUGAGGUGCGAAAGCGUGGUAGCAAACAGGAUUAGAUACCCGAGUAGUC
rnacentral:rRNA from 1 species